CCUACGAGUGGCAGCAGUGAGGAAUAUUGGUCAAUGGACGAGAGUCUGAACCAGCCAAGUAGCGUGAAGGAUGACUGCCCUAUGGGUUGUAAACUUCUUUUAUAUUAGAAUAAAAUGUUCCACGUGUGGGAUUUUGUAUGUACCAUAUGAAUAAGGCUCGGCUAACUCCGUGCCAGCAGCCGCGGUAAUACGGAGGAUCCUAGCGUUAACCGGAUUUAUUGGGUUUAAAGGGAUAGUAGGUGGAUUGUUAAGUCAGUUGUGAAAGUUUGCGGCUCAACCGUAAAAUUGCAGUUGAAACUGGCAGUCUUGAGUACAGUAGAGGUGGGCGGAAUUCGUGGUGUAGCGGUGAAAUGCUUAGAUAUCACGAAGAACUCCGAUUGCGAAGGCAGUUCACUGGACUGCAACUGACACUGAGGCUCGAAAGUGUGGGUAUCAAACAGGAUUAGAUACCCUAGUAGUC
rnacentral:rRNA from 1 species